rnacentral:rRNA from 1 species
UACGUAGGGGGCAAGCGUUGUCCGGAAUCAUUGGGCGUAAAGAGCGCGUAGGCGGUCCGGUAAGUCCGCUCUGAAAGUCCGGGGCUCAACCCCGGGAGGCGGGCGGAUACUGUCGGGCUAGAGUCCGGAAGAGGCGAGUGGAAUUCCUGGUGUAGCGGUGAAAUGCGCAGAUAUCAGGAGGAACACCGAUGGCGAAGGCAGCUCACUGGGACGGUACUGACGCUGAGGCGCGAAAGCGUGGGGAGCAAACAGG